UACGUAGGGGGCAAGCGUUGUCCGGAUUUAUUGGGCGUAAAGAGCGUGUAGGCGGCCUGAAAGGUCAGCUGUGAAAACUCGAGGCUCAACCUCGAGACGCCGAUGGAAACCCCCGAACUAGAGUCCGGAAGAGGAGAGUGGAAUUCCCGGUGUAGCGGUGAAAUGCGCAGAUAUCGGGAAGAACACCCGUGGCUAAGGCGGCUCUCUAGUACGGUACUGACGCUGAGGCGCGAAAGCGUGGGGAGCGAACAGG
rnacentral:rRNA from 1 species